GAUGGUGUAUGAUAUGGUGGGCAGUAUGUUUUGCCUUUACGCAAAUUAUUAUUUGUGAUGGAGAGUAUGGACGUUUUAUGGGAGACUUAGAAAUUGACACCCUAAUAAUCCUCUAUCUGAUAGGAUAUUAACACCCUAAUAAUUGUUGCUACUUUCGUAGAAGUACGAUAUUAACACCCUGAUAAUCCUAUCUAAUAGAGAAAUGCGCCACCCCUCUUAUGGUUUUGAUGCUAAGAAUGUUCGCUUCGCCCUACUGCCUACGCUUAAGAGGUUUCGGAGAUUAUUUCCAAAUGUUCCAAAUGGUCUUAUAGUUGAAAAGGUAUUCGAAGAUUAUAAUGUCGAGUCGGCGGGGCUGCAAGUUGGUGAUGUAAUCUUUGCUUGUGAUGGAAUUGAAAUAAAAAGUUUGUUACAUGUAUGUUUUACUUAGUUUCAUUCAAUGUUUUGAUUGAUUGUUACAAAUGAAAUGGAAUUUGAAAUAAAAUUAAGGAAUCUGAGAUGUACACCCUAACUCCUAAGAUAAUAAUGACUUAUUUUUCUUAAUGUAACAGUUGUGGGAGCAUAUGUUUGCAAACGUUGGAAAAGAAGUCGAGCUUAAAGUGGCUCGUGUGGAUCUUAAAGUUAUCAAGAAUAUUCGUUUGAUAAUAGGUGAAGCCUCAAUUGAUGAAGAGAUUUAUCGGUGGCCGAAAUAUGACUACCGUUGAAGUUGUCAAGGUUGUGAAAGAUGUGAAGUUGGAGGAGUAAUUUAUCUAUUGAGACUUUAUUGUAAUGUUAAAUGAUUUAAGUACUUUAACUUAAAGCUAUGUUGCUGCCAAAAAAACCUUUAACAUGCUUGGCCGUAACACUAAUGUUAUGUAUCCACUAUUAGGGUAUUUUGAAUCCUAA